rnacentral:rRNA from 1 species
CAGCGUAGGGGGCAAGCGUUGUCCGGAUUUAUUGGGCGUAAAGAGCUCGUAGGUGGCUUAGUAAGUCGGGUGUGAAACCUCCAGGCUCAACCGUGGAGACGCCACCCGAUACUGCUAUAGCUUGAGUCCGGUAGGGGAGGCGUGGAAUUCCUGGUGUAGCGGUGAAAUGCGCAGAUAUCAGGAGGAACGACCAGCGGCGAAGGCGGCGCUCCUGGGGCCGGUACUGACACUGAGGAGCGAAAGCGUGGGGGAGCAAACAGG